rnacentral:rRNA from 1 species
UACGGAGGGUGCAAGCGUUGUCCGGAUUCAUUGGGUUUAAAGGGUGCGCAGGCGGGCCAUUAAGUCAGGGGUGAAAGACGGUUGCUCAACAAUCGCAGUGCCUUUGAUACUGGUGUUCUUGGGUGACCUUGAGGUAGGCGGAAUGGGUGGUGUAGCGGUGAAAUGCAUAGAUACCACCCAGAACUCCGAUUGCGAAGGCAGCCUACUGGAGGUUUACCGACGCUCAGGCACGAAAGCGUGGGGAUCAAACAGG